UACAGAGGGUGCGAGCGUUAAUCGGAAUUACUGGGCGUAAAGCGUGCGUAGACGGUUAUUUAAGUCGGGUGUGAAAGCCCCGGGCUCAAUCUGGGAAUUGCAUUCGAGACUGAAUAGCUAGGGUACGGUAGAGGGAAGCGGAAUUUCCGGUGUAGCGGUGAAAUGCGUAGAUAUCAGGAGGAACACCGGUGGCGAAGGCGGGUCUCUGGGCCGUAACUGACGCU
rnacentral:rRNA from 1 species